UCUCCGUUGGUGAACCAGCGGAGGGAUCAUUACAGAGUUGCAAAACUCCCAAACCAUUAUGAACGUUACCUAUCCCGUUGCUUCGGCGGGCGGCCCGGGCCCCGCGCCCGGCGCCCCCCGGCCCCCCGUGGGCGCCCGCCGGAGGUAAACCAAACCCUUGAAUUGCAUGGCCUCUCUGAGUCUUCUGUACUGAAUAAGUCAAAACUUUCAACAACGGAUCUCUUGGUUCUG
rnacentral:misc_RNA from 1 species